CGCCCCCUGCGGUGUGCGUGAUUGCUCCAGUUAUCCUCUGAACCUAUAAGUGCUUUUAACGGGAGCCAGAUUGUAGAUGCUGUUGUGCAUGUCCGCCUCGUUGCGGAAAGCCUGAUGCAUCUCUGAGGCACCCACUUGAACCUCACGGUUCAAGGCUACGGAGCAACACGGCAUCUGCGGAGGGCGU
rnacentral:other from 1 species